GUGGAUAGGAUGUCACGCUGUGACCGUGACAACCCCGGUUCAAAUCCGGGUAUCGACU
rnacentral:tRNA from 1 species